rnacentral:rRNA from 1 species
CAGUCGCCGCGGGAAUACGUAGGUGGCAAGCGUUGUCCGGAAUUAUUGGGCGUAAAGGGUUCGCAGGCGGUUUCUUAAGUCUGAUGUGAAAGCCCCCGGCUCAACCGGGGAGGGUCAUUGGAAACUGGGAAACUUGAGUGCAGAAGAGGAGAGUGGAAUUCCACGUGUAGCGGUGAAAUGCGUAGAGAUGUGGAGGAACACCAGUGGCGAAGGCGACUCUCUGGUCUGUAACUGACGCUGAGGAGCGAAAGCGUGGGGAGCGAACAGGAUUAGAUACCCCAGUAGUCCCUGUCUCUUAUAC